UGGUGGCGGGAGUGGUGGCAGUGCUUAAGAGGGGGCGUCAUAUUAAUUGUUGUCAUGGCGAUCAAAUUGAUUGGCAGGGACGCCUGAUUAGAAAGGAGAAAAGGAGACAGGUGGAGGGAGGCGUGCUGUACAAACCAAAGGAGCAGAUUGGGACAAAGUGGGGACUCGUUGGGGUGUCACAAGACGGACAACCUUUGUGUUUACAUCGUCUCUUCCUGUGUGUGGCAGCCCAGGUUAAAGGCCCACGCUGUGCAUCGCUGGCUAAUCGAUCAGGACAGUAGUGUGAGCUCUGAGAUGCC